rnacentral:rRNA from 1 species
GAUGAACGCUGGCGGCGUGCCUAAUACAUGCAAGUCGAGCGAACAGACGAGGAGCUUGCUCCUCUGACGUUAGCGGCGGACGGGUGAGUAACACGUGGAUAACCUACCUAUAAGACUGGGAUAACUUCGGGAAACCGGAGCUAAUACCGGAUAAUAUAUUGAACCGCAUGGUUCAAUAGUGAAAGACGGUUUUGCUGUCACUUAUAGAUGGAUCUGGGCCGCAUUAGCUAGUUGGUAAGGUAACGGCUUACCAAGGCAACUAUGCGUAGCCGACCUCAGAGGGUGGUCGGCGACCCUAGAGCUUAGACAGGGUCCAGGGUCCUGCGGGAGGCAGCAGUAGGGUAUCUUCGGCAGUGGGCGAAAGCCUGACGGAGCAACGCCGCGUGAGAGAUGAAGGUCUUCGGAUCGUAAAACUCUGUUAUGAGGGAAAAACAAAUGUGUAAGUAACUAUGCACGUCGUGACGGUACCUAAUCAGAAAGCCACGGCUAACUACGUG